rnacentral:rRNA from 1 species
CCUACGGGAGGCAGCAGUAGGGAAUUUUCGUCAAUGGGCGCAAGCCUGAACGAGCAAUGCCGCGUGAAUGAGGAAGGUCUUCGGAUCGUAAAGUUCUGUUGAAGGGGAAGAAGAUCGUAGAGAGGAAAUGGUCUCCGAUUGAUAUUACCCUUCGAGGAAGUCACGGCUAACUACGUGCCAGCAGCCGCGGUAAUACGGAGGGUGCGAGCGUUAUCCGGAAUUAUUGGGCGUAAAGGGAGCGUAGGCGGGCUUGUGAGUCAGGGGUGAAAGGUACGGGCUUAACCCGGGAAAGGCUUUGGAAACUGGCGAGCUAGAGAGCUGGAGAGGGCGGUGGAAUUCCAUGUGUAGCGGUAAAAUGCGUAGAGAUAUGGAGGAAUACCAGUGGCGAAGGCGGCCGCCUGGACAAUGACUGACGCUGAGGUGCGAAAGCGUGGGGAGCAAAUAGGAUUAGAUACCCGAGUAGUC